UUUAGUUAAAAAGGUGAACUAACAACAUAAUAUCAAUAUCUGAGGCAAUUUCAUCAGAACUCUAGAAGUUCCAAAGAAACCAAUAAACAACUUGUUAUGUCCCACAAUAGGAAAAUACCGACUAGUCUUACUGUGACAUCAGGGAUAAGGUUACCAGAUGAUAAUGAUAAUAAUGAUGACAAUGUUGCUAGUGGAGAUGGUGGUAAUGAUGAAGGUAGUGAUGGAGGUUGUGGUGAUGGUGGUGGUAGAGGUGGUGGUGAUGGUGAUGGUUGUAAUGGAGGUAGUGGUAAUGGUGGCAGUGGUGAUGAUGGUGGUAGAGGUCAUGGUGAUGGUGGUGAUGGUGAUGGUAGUAACGGAGGUCAUGGUGAUGGUGGUAGUGAUGAUGGUGGUGGGGAUGGUGUACGGUGUUAUAGAGUUUGUAAGAAAGGAAUUCAACCAAGCUGGGAAAGAUGUGCCUGAGCAGUGACCAGAAAUUGAGAAGUACAAGAUGAAUAUGGUUCAACCAAUCAAAGAAAAAGCGAAAGAGGGUUCCAGACAGAGGGAAGAGUGUGAAAAGAGCCUAUGAUGUGACGAGCAGAAAAAAGACCAACCUGGCUGGAGGGGAGAGAGCAGGGGCGAGUGUAGUUUAAGAUGAGGCUACAGAGGAUAGAAGAGGCCACACUCAACAUGGCUCUGUAGGUCAAGUCAAGGAAUUCCAUCCUUAUUCUAAAUAAGAAACGAAAGUAUUAAGCCAUGGGGUCACAUGAGCAGAUCUGCCUUCUGAAAGGACCAGUCUGGCUGCCACGUGGUGAAUGGGGAGCAGGGGGAAGGCGGUGCCUAGAGUAGCUUGGAUUAGGGUGGUAGUGGUAGAUAUAGAGAGAACUGUGCACAGACCAGAGCUAUUUAGGAGUUGAAAUGGUGCUGAGCUAGAUGUAGGGUGGAGAUGAACAGUGAAUUCCCCAUUUCCUGACUCGUAAUAGGAUAGACAGUGGUGAUACUCCCUAAGACAGAAAACACCAGAUGAACAACAGGUUUGGGGAGUGAAAAUCUGUUUGGACAAGUUGAGCACAAGUUUCCUUCAAGAGAUCCAAGAGAAGAUAUCAAGUAAGCAUCAAGUGAAAAGCCAAGCAUGAUGGGAAGAAGGAAGGUUGGGACUCUCUUAUGCAGAGGUGGUAAUGAGAGCUGUGGGUGUGAAUGCAGUGCUCUAGGAAGAGAAUAGAGUGAGGAGACAGGAGGGUCUGGCGCAGCCUUGCAAAGCUCAACAUUUCCUGGCCAGGGAGCAGCUCAGCCUCCUGAGAGACAGGGAGAAUCAACCAGACAGCAAGGAGCAGAUCAGAAAGAGCUGGCGCCUGGAGACCUGGGGAUGGGAGGGAGGCAGGAACAUUUCCGGAGGGGCCUCCACCCGUGUCCCACUCCCUAAAUCCCACUAUACAUAUUGCAGGAUUCUCUUCAUUUACUUCAAGUUUAAAAAAAAUACUAAAAAUAAAUCUUUCCAGAGCAACAGCAGCUCUGAAUAACUCAAGUUCCU
rnacentral:lncRNA from 1 species